rnacentral:rRNA from 1 species
UACGGAGGGGGCUAGCGUUGUUCGGAAUUACUGGGGCGUAAAGCGCACGUAGGCGGCUUUUGUAAGUUAGAGGUGAAAGCCCGGGGGCUCAACUCCGGAAUUGCCUUUAAGACUGCAUCGCUAGAAUUGUGGAGAGGUAAGUGGAAUUCCGAGUGUAGAGGUGAAAUUCGUAGAUAUUUCGGAAGAACACCAGUGGCGAAGGCGACUUACUGGACACAUAUUGACGCUGAGGUGCGAAAGCGUGGGGGGAGCAAACAGGAUUUAGAA